AUUGAACGCUGGCGGCAGGCCUAACACAUGCAAGUCGAGCGAGCGGCGGACGGGUGAGUAAUGUAUGGGGACUGCCCGAUAGAGGGGGAUAACUACUGUAACCGGUAGCUAAUACCGCUUACUAUCGGAUAACUCAUUUGGGAUUGGCUAUUAGGUUAGGUAAUGGCUAACUUAGGCGACGAUCCCUAGCUGGUCUGAGAGGUUGAUCAGCCCCACUGGGACUGAGACACGGCCCAGACUCCUACGGAGGCAGCAGUGGGGAAUAUUGCAAAAUGGGCGAAAGCCUGAUGCAGCCAUGCCGCGUGUAUGAAGAAGGCCCUAGGGUUGUAAAGUACUUUCAGUCGGGAGGCGUUACCGACAGAAGAAGCACCGGCUAACUACGUGCCAGCAGCCGCGGUAAUUC
rnacentral:rRNA from 1 species